rnacentral:lncRNA from 1 species
AGUCUAUGAGAAAAGACACGAGUUUGAGGAGACUUCAAUUGAGAACAUCUAAGAAGUAGAAUCUUUCAAUGGAGAAGAAGAGGAGACUCUCAAAUAUUUCUUCAAUUAUUCAAGCAAUCUAUAUGUGUUGUAAGUUAACACCUGCUACUUAAUUCUUUUUGUUCAAUUGUUAUAAUUUAAAGGAAAGUACAAAUAUCACUCUUUUCUUAAGAGAUCAAGGACCAAACUUGAUACGAAACCCUAAAAACAGUAUUCAAGUUCAUUAAUUUGAUACAAAUUAAUGUUUAUGAGCCUUAAAAACCACUGAAAAUGAAUUAGAUUAAAAAGUUGAAAUAGUUUUUUAGAUUGAUCUUAUAUUAAAGUAUUGAUAUUCCUUCAAUUUUGAUCCAAUUGAAGAGAAAGUCCAACUGAUGGAAUGAGAACUUUCUUCUUUGAUUGAUACAUCUUGGAUGAUCGAAUAAAAGAAACUCAAUUUAUCAGUCAAAGCUUAAACCAUUUUCUUCAGUUUAGUGGAAUGACCUAUGGUUUUUCUUUUCCAUUUAUGUCCAUAAUUAUAUUUGAAGAUGCAACACAACAUCUUAAUAUGGCCACCAUCCAUCAUUUAGGUUUUUUUAUCGUUUCCAGCAUAUCUAUAUUCUCAUAGGUGUCCUAUCAUCACGUAAUUUACAAGUAACUAAAAGAGAAAUAUCUCUUUAAUCAUCCAUUGAUAUAUUAAUAUGUGACUUAAUCUAUUUGUAUUAGGAUAUUAGGUAAUCUUUAUCUUAUAAAUAACUUCUUAUCUAGAAGCAUUAACUACAUGAACAAGGCACCAUCACCUAGAGUUAUGUGGCUAUGCAUUUCAAAUACUAUUUCCAAUAUUUCUUACUUCAUACUUUAUAAAAUCCUAUAGAAUUGUGUGGAUUGCAAAGUUUGAUAAUUUAUGGAAUUUUGUUUUAUUUAGAUUUGUCUUUUAAAGUAACAAAAAGAUAGGGUUAUAAUGCAUCAAAGGAAAGUGGUAAUUUGCUAGAACAUGCAGUUACUCUUUGUAGGCAAGAUAGAAUUGAUUCUUUUGUGUAAUUGGAAGGAAGAUUUUUAUGAUGUUGAGUUGAUUGUCAUAUUAAUAAUCACUUUAAAUUUUUGUUUACUUAUAGGUUAUUAAUGUGCCUUUUUCAAGUUUGAGAAUGUGGUAUAAUCCUUUUUAAUAUGAUAAUAGGUAGCUAAAUAAGAAAAGAGACUUGAUAGAAAUUUAAAAAAAAAAAAUUAGCAAAAAUAAUUUGUUUACAAAAUAAAUAAAAAAUCCAUAAUAUAAACAUUCUACCAAAAUGAUUCCCAAACUAGUGCAUCCUAUCUAUGUGGCUAUCCACGUUACAAAACUGAAGUUAGUAACUACAAUUUUAAUUUUUUUUUUAAAUGGUUAAAACUAUAGUUGAUGACUUUUAAGUUUAAAUUUAAAGUCGUAGUCACCAACUAUGGUUUUAUGUUUAAAAAUAGAAAUCAAAAUUGUAGUUGCUAACUACGGUUUUGUGACAAAAUAAAAAAUAAAAAAUCUUAGGCCAUGUAGAUGUCCAAGUGGAUGAGAUGCAUUAAUUUGAGAAUUAUUUAGGGAGGAGGGUUUUUAUGGGUUUUUUUUUCAAACAUAUUAUUUUGACUAAAAACUCCAAACAAAAAAAUGGUAGAAUUGGGAGUACUUAUAUAUAAAAUCAACCCAAUUCUUCCAUAUCAAGGAAGUGAUAUAACAAGAUAGGAAACACCUAUAUCUUACUCAUUAGAUGUAUAAAAACAAAAUUAAUUACGUAUGUCAUUAUAAGAAGUUGAGUUGUCACAACAUUUUCAUUUUCAAAUAUUAUACCAUAGUUAGAAAAACAUAUAAAUGGUAUAAAAAAAUUUGAGCUUGUCAAUUAUUGAUUUUUUUUCUUUUCUUUCUUUCUUCAAUAUUUUAGUGUUGAAUACCCAUAAAAUCAAUUAUUUGUUUUUUAGGCUAUAGAAUCUCCAUUAUUGUAAGAAAGAUAAGCAUAAAUUCCACCUUCCUUUUUCAGGUUUUCUUAUUAUGGAAUGAGGGUAGUCGGAAAUAGGUAUGUGUUUAAUUUUUUUCAAAAUUCAAUAAUUUUGUGAGAUUUUGUGUUUGGACAAAAAGGAAAGAAGUACCAUCACAAGAAUUAUACAUGUGAUAGAAGAAAUGAAGAGUGCAUUUGGCAUUAAUUUUAGAAAAUGUUUCUAACAUUUCUAACACUUGAAUGAUAACAAAUUUCAAGUGUUAGAAUGGUUAGAAAUGUUUCCUAGAAUCACUGUCAAACCAACUUGAAAUUUCUUAUAGUCCAUUAAUAUUAUUUCUUGAAAAAUCCUAGCUCUGUGCUAUCAAAGUUUUAUUUUUUAAUCUUUUUGACAUUUUUCCCCUCAUUUAUAUAUCUUAAUCAUAGUAUGUAUGCAGCUUUUGCAGAAAUACAGGAUCUUCCUACAGCGAGUUAUCGUACAUAUGCAACUUUUGCAGAAGUAGAGGAUAUUUCAAAAGCUGGUGAUUCAAUUGGAAGAAGCACAUGAAAGAAUUCAACUCAAAGAAAUCAAAUAUGAAGCUUUGCGAUGGAGCACCCUUCACUGAUGAUUAAUGAAUUCCAACAUGUGUUCCUGUAGUUUCUAGAACAAUGCCAAAUAAGUAGGAUCUAAAGGACACCUUCUAACUACACAUGGUCCGAAAUUUGGUGGUAAAAAUAGUUUUGGAUGCAUAUGCACCACCUAAAGAUAACAAUUACUUUUGAUUAUACCUAUAGGGAAAAAAAUAGGAACUUAAAGCAAUAGGUUGAUCAAUUAGUAUUAAAGUGGAUUUACAAUAUCUACAUAGGUGAAUUGAUUUGUUUUUGUGCUACAAUGAUGCAUGGCUUAGUUAAAGUUUAAUUUUUUUUUUUUCUUUUGGAUUUGAGUGGAAAACCCAUCUAUUUAUAUAUUACUAAUUUGCAAUAUAAUGCUAGAUGUGUACUACAUAUAUCAAGUAUUGCUUUGACAAAGUGGUUGAAUAUUGUUUUUUUGUCUAUGAAUAGAUCCCAAAAUAUUACAUAAUUUGGUUGUUUUAUUUUGUAUUUUCUAAUUAUAAUUCUUCACAGAGCAAUUGGUCACAAACUAGUGCCACCCAUAACCAUUGGAAGAGACUCUAUAUGCAU